GCCCCCGUUGUCUAAUGGUUAUGACGUCAGACUUCUAUGUAUUAUGUAACGCUUACAUAAGCGCAAUCUGGAGGCUGCGGGUUCGAGUCCCGCCGGGGGUU